UGCGUAGGCGGCUCUAUAAGUAUGGUGUGAAAUCUCCCGGCUUAACUGGGAGGGUGCGCUAUAGACUGUGGGGCUAGAGGGUGGGAGAGGAAAGUGGAAUUCCUGGUGUAGCGGUGAAAUGCGUAGAUAUCAGGAGGAACACCGGUGGUGUAAACGGCUUUCUGGACCAUUUCUGACGCUGAGGCACGAAAGCGUGGGUAGCAAACAGGAUUAGAUACCCUGGUAGUCCACGCCCUAAACGAUGCAUAUUUGGUGUGGGCCAUUCAUUUGGUCUGUGCCGGAGCUAACGCGUUAAAUAUGCCGCCUGGGGAGUACAGUCGCAAGGCUGAA
rnacentral:rRNA from 1 species